AGCUAUCUAAUGAGCCUAAUCCAGUGACCAAUGAAGUCAGUGGGAGUCGAGACCAAAGAAGACUAAGUGGUGAAUAGGAGAGAGUACAAGAAUCAUGGGUGGACUGUACUGACUGGGCUCUAUCAUGAUGACAUGCCACUUCAUCCUUACCUCAGUCCAACUCCUCCACUCUCUCCUGGGAUCUACUAUGACAUCAUGGAGCCUUCAUCUGCCUGAUCUUGACAGAGACCUGAGCCAGAGGGAGGACCCAUGUGACACCACUACCUCCUCCAGGUUCAGCUAAGAAUACCAGCAAUAUUGCCAUUUUGGAAAGAGAUGUACCUUUUGGUUUGGAGCACAUUGAAGAGACAUGUCACAUUGCAAAACACAGUUCUUGGGAGCUAAGUAUGACGGACUGGGUCAAUCAUAUGCGAUGGGUAAGGGUUAAUGUUUUCCAUUUCUUCUCUUCAUAAUAAACAGUACUUUUAAAGCUUUUAAAUGUACCACCAAAGAAGGGUAUUAAUAUUUCCAUUCAGCAGAAGGAGGGAAAAAUGACAUGCCUUAUCCAAACCAUACAGUGUUUCAGGGUAGAUUGGGGAACACAGCAAAGAUCUCCUGGAAGUGGUUGCAGUGCUUAGCUACAGCAAUUGACCAUCGUGGGACUGGCAGUGAGGGCCCCACCCCCGGUUGACGGGAUUGGUCACAGGGGGGCAUGUGUCCCCCCUGACUAAGGCAGCUCUAGUUGCCCAUGUCUUCAGGCACCCAGUAACAUGGUUGCUCUACCCUUGAUCUCUUCCCAACAACAGUCACAGAUGCAAAGUAAAGCUUGGGGUCAGCACAGCAAUUAAACAUUAGUAAUUAAGUUGUUUCUGUGCUUAUAUGUGUUGUGGGAUGGGGACCCAGUUGCAUGUAAAUGGAUGGUUCUAGAUGUGCAGAAAAGGGUCAGAUCCUGAGUUCAAUAACUUGCUUGAAUUGCAAAGGUUAGGCAUGGGGUUGAAGUAACCCUCUCCCUCUCCCUCAUACUGCUUAAUGCUGUGUCUCAUCCCAUACAGAAUACACCGUUUCUGGUGCAAAUACUCAGGAGUGCAAACACAAAGUCUGCUUUCCAUAAGCAUUCACUUGAGUCCUAUUCAAUCUCUCAAAUGUUUGCAAUAGCAAUCACAAAAGGGAUGCGAGAGUGGACAAGGCAAAUUCAUUUUUAAAUUGGAGUGAACGUUCAGGUAUACUUUACAAUAUUUUCCUCACUCUAUCAGGAACUAUGGGGUGAAGUGGUUUAAUCAGGCAGAGGAGAGUUCGAGGGCAUGAGAUUUGGGGUCGAUGGGUGUUACAGCAACUGCUGUGUUGAGUUUACCAUCAACUACAGCACCUCAAACCCAGAAAUGAGGAACAUAUACACUGUUUUGAAAAAUAUGCUAUUUAAAUAUUUCUCUUUUAAAAUAUUUGGUGUUCAGUUUACCACUGCUAUCUUAAAUGAAGCUGAGCACACAUGUGUGAGGGGUGAACACAGCUCUCAAGAACUUAUUAUCCAAAGGCAGGGGACUAGUUUCAACACUAAAUCUAAUAUAACCCUCAGUUGAAGAAGUGAAUUCACAUGGUGGUACCCUGGUGUCCAUGAUUUCGGGGAGGUCUGUAGGGGCACUGGGGUCUAUCUGGAUGAAUAUAAUAACUUGCAGGAUUGAGGCUAGACCUAAACUUUGCCUCAUUUAAGCAGGGCAGGGGUUUGCCAAAAAACAUUUUGCCAAGAUUGACAUUUCAGGGUCAGAAGUUGGACUGUCUGUACCCAUCUGUCCUCAGGUGCAGCAUUACUAUAGUAUUUAUUGUGCUUUGUUGAAUAUCCCUUUUAGCAUGUCUCUUAGUACUUUGCUAUUUUGUUUGUCUUAUGUAAGAGACUAGUACUAAAUGAAUGCUGUUUUUAAAACUUGGCUCUAUCAAACUGUAGGACUUGUUGACAUUUUAUGGGAAAAUGUAAUAACACAAUUAAACUAAUGCUGUGAGUAACAAAAACAAUAAUUCAUAAUUUCACACUUUGUAAAUAUAUUUUUGUUGGCAAUCAAAAUCACACGCACCUCCACAACAUAGUAUGUCAUGGUAACAUAACAAACAUAUAUAUUACUUUGAAGUUUUAAUGUCCUUUUUGAGGUAUACAGCACCUUUUAAAAAAUUAUUUAUAACUGGAAUAUAACAUAUAAACAAUGUAAAGCUUUCAAACUUGGAUUCAUUACAGAUAUUAAAUGCACCUAUAAUUGUACCUUUCUCCAUCCACUUGAGGUGACCUGUUAUUUGGCACUUUAGGGAUGGAAAUAUUUUUAUUCAGUUCAUGGAACAUUUACAGCUAUAUUGGUACUAGAAUGUAGCAACUGUUUUAUGUAGACACAGACACAUAAUACUUUUGGAAAUACUGGAAUGAAGUACCAUGAAAAUUAAUAUUCUGCUUUUUCCCUGUAGACUUUUUGAAUCAGAGACUUUAUAUUAUUUUUACAGAAACUUAAUAUGAACCUAUAUAUAUUAAAUAUCACAUUCACUUUAUUUCCAGUGAUUUUUAGCACAAUGCCAACAUCUUCCACACAAUACCAUAUUUAUCCUAUGUGAACAUAUUUUGAUUAUAAUUUACAUUCUGAGCACACUUUGUAUGUUUAGAAAUGUCCAUACUGCUCAAGAUCUUCUUAGAAUGACCUGCAUAGUAUAUAGUGUAGACUUUAUCUCUAAAAAGUAGAAUAGUCCUAAACUUCUGCCAAUAUUUUCUGCUGCUAUCAUUUUUGCAUAAAUAAAUUGCUGGGAUGCGGAGCUUCAAAGUGCUCAGUUUUGACUUGAUUCUCUAUUAAUAUCAAGAGUAAAAACUCAGUGCCAUACUGGAACACUACAAGUUACAUCGCAGAGGAGAUCAAAGGUUGUGAUAUAGAGAUUAGGAGCUCUUGGUGACAGGCAACAUCUCUUUUGUGUGUGUUUAUACAGUGCUUAGUGCACUGGAAUCUGGGUCCAUGAUGAGGGCUCCCACAUGCAAGUGAAAAACAAAUAAUAAAUAUAGUCAUUAUUCUAUCAUGUAGUGUAGCAAUGCAUUGUAUGUCUUUGCAGUGUACCUUUUACCUAUGAUCUCCAGAUAGGCUCUUCCUAUCUUCAGUGUAUGGCAAUUACUCCAUUAAUAUAGGAAAUAGGAGGGAAGGUUUCUGUUGGAAGUUCUGACAUUGUGCAGAACCACCCUCCAAGGAAGGGUGGAAUAGAGAAGUAACUCACCCCUUUUCCUUUCCCCUGAGCUCAGAACGUCAAUCCUCUGAGUUCCUUAUCUUUCAUCUUUUUCAACCCAGAAGUAUCUUUGUCCAGACAGUGCUUUAGCAGAUGAAUCUGGGAACAGAUGUGCCAGAGCAGCUUCCUCAAUGGCAGAAUCUUUCUUCCUCUUUAAAAGAAAAUAGAGUAGUAUAAUUUUUGGCCCUCAAAAUAAGGGGGAAUCUAGGUAGCUGUUUAUUUGCCUCCAUUUUUGAGAGUCAUAUUAGAUUAAUUUAUGGUAUCUAAUUUUUGUACCUUUCCUGAAUUUAAAGUAUUUCCACAUUGCCAUCUUCCUACUGUAGCAGAAAGCCCCCUUUUCCACUUGCCUGCAUUUGCUCUCCCCUCUUUGGAUAUGUUUCUCUUCUUCUACCUUUUCUUCCUUCCUCUUUCUUUCAGUAUAAGAUAAGGAAUUGUGUUUUAAAGUUUGUAUGUGUGUAUUUUGUAUCUCCCCUUGUAUUUUGGUAUUUUUAUCUAUUUGUGUACCAUGGCAUUACUUUUGUAGCUUAUAUUUUAUACUCCUCACCUUUUAGCUAAAUGUGUUUUAGUUUCAGAAGUAAGUUAGACAUUGUAACAAUGUUAACAAGGGCAAGAAUCAAACUGCUGCUUCCCUGUAUCAGGCGGGCCCCUGAAAAAGCGAGUGAAUCAGUGACUGAAUGAGUAACACAGUAGCAGACAGUAAUUAACACCUAGGGAAACCGCAGAUCAACCAAUGGAAGAAAUCAAUAGGAGACAAUGUAGCAACCGGGAAUUCUCUCAACUUCACAGUUCAAGGGCUAGAAGCCCCGGUCUGAGUUAAUCAAUGCCGGGGACCAACUUUUGGGCUGAAUAUCUCCAUAUCGACUGCUCCCAGAGCCCUAUUCAAAAUUCAUCAACGGACUCCCAAACCUGCACGUACAUGCGGACGACCCCUGGGGCUGACAGAUGCCAUCCAGUAGCCACUGAGGGGAAAGUCCCACAAGGGUCAAUGACCCCUGGAUUGGGCAAACCUGAAAACUGGGGAGUAACCAAAGUCUGCCAAGGACAGAUAAAAAGCAGUGAAAAGUGACCCUCAGUGGCGCCCUCUUGAUCUCCAACUUGACCAGCACCUGACCUGUCCAGCCAGAAGGACCAGCUGGCGACCCUCUUCUGUAGGAUAACAUCACGCUGAAAGAAGCCUCGACUGGCCAUUGAUGGCAGACUCCAGUGCCUGUGGGAUAGGUACUCUUGUAGCUCUCUACUGUGUGUGUGUGUGGGGGGGGGGGGGGACCAGCCCCAAGGUUUAUGAUUUGACUUCAUUACAGUGUUUCAAUCCGCCUAAUAAACCAGAAUUUUAAGGAUCCUGAGUUGGACAUUUUUAGCCAACAC